CAGUUAAAAAGCUCGUAGUUGAACGUUCGGGUCCGCGGGACGGGGCCGCCCCGCGAGGGACGGCGCCGCCCCGGGGCUCGUGAUAUCUUAUCUCGCCGCCCGUCGCGAGGCGGACGGAGGGAUGGAUGAGGUUACCUAGGAAAAAUCGGGGCGAUCUACUCGGCGUUCCGCGCCGCCGGAUAACCGUAGUAAUUCUAGGGCUAAUACGUGCGAAGCGCCCGAAGCCGCGAGGCGACGGGCGUUCUCGCCGGAUGUAGGAACCGACCCGGGGACCGCCGGGGCAACCCGGCGCCCCCGAGACGGGGCGAACCACGGUGAAAUGACGGAUCGUCGGCCCCGCGCCGGCGACUCGCCGAAUGAGUUUCUGACCUAUCAACUCGAGACGGCGGGGUAGAGGCCCGCCGCGGUAACGACGGGUAACGGGGAAUCAGGGUUCGAUUCCGGAGAGGGAG
rnacentral:rRNA from 1 species